rnacentral:misc_RNA from 1 species
UCAGAUUAAGAGUAGUUUAAUUAGCAGACAGGUAUAAGCUUGAUGCUUCCACUCUGCAUCAUUCUCUUGAACUCAUCAAAAUUAACCAUUCCAUCUCCAUCCAUAUCAACUUUUCUAAUCAUUUCUUUGCAAUCCUCAACUCUUUUUCCUUCCUUUAAUCCCAAAGAACACAACACCAAUCCCAGUUCUUCAACCGUUAUCAACCCAUUUUUAUCCUUAUCAAACACAUCAAAUGCUUCCUUCAAAUCUCCUUCUUCUUCUGCUCUUCCUUUCCCACCACCACUGUCAUCAUCCCCCAACUCCUGAUCACCACCUGCCUUGGAGUAGUCGCACAAGAGACAAAACUCUUCAUAAUCUAUCAAUCCAUCUCCAUUAGAAUCAAACUUCACUACCAUUUCUUCAACUUCCUUCGCUGUUAUGAAGAUUCCUAUAUUCUUAAGCGACUCUCUCAGUUCUUGCUUAGUUAUGAAGCCAUCUCCAUUCUUGUCAAAGGUAGCAAACACACUCUUAAGCUCUCCCUUGGCACUGUUAUUACAAGAAGUAGCUGUCCUUGUC